AGGAGAAAACCCGUCAUCGGUUAGGAUGAACAUAUCAAGGAUUAAUCUCUCAGAAAGCAAUAGGGAUUACAACAACCUUUUUACUGGGUAGAAAACCACAAAAGGGGGGGGGGGAAUAUCCGUCAUGAUUUUAAGAUGAACAUAUCAAGGAUAGACUACCUGGGGAAACGUCAAAACGAAUCCUCUAGGGAAAAAUAAGAGGAAGUAGAUUAUAGUUAUCGGGUAUUGGGUAAGAGUAAGGUACUCGCAAAUCG
rnacentral:lncRNA from 1 species